GAUGAACGCUGGCGGCGUGCCUAAUACAUGCAAGUCGAGCGCGAGAGUGAGGAGCUUGCUCCUCAUGAUCGAGCGGCGGACGGGUGAGUAACACGUAGGCAACCUACCCUUGAGAUUGGGAUAACUACCGGAAACGGUAGCUAAUACCGGAUACGACUUUUCCACAUAAGUGGAAUGGUUAAAAGGCGGAUUUAUCUGCCGCUCAUGGAUGGGCCUGCGGUGCAUUAGCUAGUUGGUGGGGUAGUGGCUCACCAAGGCGACGAUGCAUAGCCGACCUGGGAGGGUGAUCGGCCACACUGGGACUGAGACACGGCCCAGACUCCUACGGGAGGCAGCAGUAGGGAAUCUUCCGCAAUGGACGAAAGUCUGACGGAGCAACGCCGCGUGAGUGAUGAAGGGUUUCGGCUCGUAAAACUCUGUUGUUAAGGAAGAACACUUGAGGUAGUAACUGGCCUUGAGAUGACGGUACUUAACCAGAAAGCCACGGCUAACUACGUGCCAGCCGCCGCCGUAA
rnacentral:rRNA from 1 species